rnacentral:miRNA from 1 species
UAUGUGUGUGUGUGUGUGUGUGUACAUGUAUAUAUAUAAUAUGUCUGUGCAUGUACACACACACGCACACACAUAUA